rnacentral:rRNA from 1 species
GACGUAGGAGGCGAGCGUUAUCCGAAUUUACUGGGCGUAAAGGGUGUGCAGGCGGUUCGGUAAGUUGGGUGUGAAAUCUCCCGGCUCAACUGGGAGAGGUCGCUCAAGACUGUCGGACUGGAGGGCAGGCGAGGGAGGUGGAAUUCCCGGUGUAGUGGUGAAAUGCGUAGAUAUCGGGAGGAACACCAGUGGCGAAGGCGACUACCUGGCCUGUUUCUUGACGCUGAGGCGCGAAAGCUAGGGGAGCAAACGGG